GCACCGCUAGCUCAACGGCAGAGCAGCUGACUCUUAAUCAGCGGGUUCAGGGUUCGAAUCCCUGGCGGUGUA
rnacentral:tRNA from 1 species